rnacentral:rRNA from 1 species
ACGGUCCUAAGGUAGCGAAAUUCCUUGUCGGGUAAGUUCCGACCUGCACGAAUGGCGUAAUGAUGGCCACGCUGUCUCCACCCAAGACUCAGUGAAAUUGAAAUCGCUGUUAAGAUGCAGUGUACCCGCGGCUAGACGGAAAGACCCCGUGAACCUUUACUAUAGCUUCACACUGGACUUUGACCUUACUUGUGUAGGAUAGGUGGGAGACUUUGAAGCGUGAUCGCUAGAUUGCGUGGAGUCACCCUUGAAAUACCACCCUGGUAAUGUUGAGGUUCUAACUUGGCUCCUGAAACGGGAGUGAGGACAGUGUGUGGUGGGUAGUUUGACUGGGGCGGUCUCCUCCUAAAGAGUAACGGAGGAGCACGAAGGUACCCUAAGAGCGGUCGGAAAUCGCUCGUUUAGUGUAAUGGCAUAAGGGUGCUUGACUGCGAGAGUGACAACUCGAGCAGGUGCGAAAGCAGGUCAUAGUGAUCCGGUGGUUCUGAAUGGAAGGGCCAUCGCUCAACGGAUAAAAGGUACUCCGGGGAUAACAGGCUGAUACCGCCCAAGAGUUCAUAUCGACGGCGGUGUUUGGCACCUCGAUGUCGGCUCAUCACAUCCUGGGGCUGAAGUCGGUCCCAAGGGUAUGGCUGUUCGCCAUUUAAAGUGGUACGCGAGCUGGGUUUAGAACGUCGUGAGACAGUUCGGUCCCUAUCUGCCGUGGGCGCAGGAGAUUUGAGAAGAGUUGCUCCUAGUACGAGAGGACCGGAGUGAACGAACCUCUGGUGUUCGGGUUGUGUCGCCAGACGCAUUGCCCGGUAGCUACGUUCGGACAGGAUAACCGCUGAAAGCAUCUAAGCGGGAAGCCCCCUUCAAGACGAGAUCUCCCUGAGGACUUGAUCCUCCUAAAGUGCCGUUGAAGACGACGACGUUGAUAGGCUGGGUGUGUAAGUACAGUGAUGUAUUGAGCUAACCAGUACUAAUUGCACGUGAGGCUUGACCAU